rnacentral:lncRNA from 1 species
UCCAUUAUUAACUAUUCAAGCCUUCGAGCAAACUCAUGAGCAAGUUGCUUCGUUGGGUAAUCUUGUGGGAGAACCCAGUGACGAGACAUUAGAAGAAGAAACUUAAAAUUUCUCCGAUUAAAUGCAAAGAGAACCACACGGCUCUGUUGGGGCAAGAGCUGGCCGCCGGGCUAUUGCUCAAGGUAAUAGUGUAGAAAUUGCAGAAGCUAUAUUUUGAUAUACUCCUCCAGAUGAGGUAUAUUUUGUCUA